rnacentral:sRNA from 1 species
CUGUAUAAAAUACAUAUGCCACAUUGCGUGAAUAUAUAUAACAUAUAAUAUAUACGUUCACACGUGUAUACUAUGUUAACGCGCAUAUGACGGUUCCGUGAUAUGAUAUGAGUGGACGCUCGUCGUGUUUAUAUCUAUCUAUAUUGCGGUCCGUUUAAAUAUUGUCUAACGACACACGUUGAUUAUAUAUUUAUAUAUCAUACGACAAUGUUAGAGAUUAUUAUAAUAUCGGUCGAACGAUCGACGGUGUUACCGCUGAUGCGCUCUCUAUAUAUAUAUAUAUAUAUAUAUAUACGGCGUAACGCGGGACGCUUUCGACUCUUCGAGUUUGAGUGUUAUGUAACAAUAUCACACACAUACGAGAGGGUUGAUGGCGUGUUCAUGUUUUUUAAACAAGUUCAACGCCGUUCACAUGUCGCGAGACAAAUAAAUCUCUAUAUAACAAUUGACGUAUACACACACAAAUGAUAUAUAAGCCUUUUAAAUCAUCGACAGUAGGCGGACUCGACGUCCGAAGAGCGCAUCGACGCCGUCGUCGUUAUCGAUCGUUAAUGUAACGUAUCGUAGCGGUUGCGUCGUCGUAACGCUGACGGAUAUCGCGUCUGCCUCAUUUUUUUAUCGUUGGCCUCAGAUCAGGGAGGAUCACCCGCCGAAUUUAAGCAUAUUAGUAAGCGGAGGAAAAGAAACUAACUAGGAUUUCCUUAGUAGCGGCGAGCGAACAGGAAUGAAGCCCAGCACUGAAUCCCGCCGUUGUUCAGGCGGCGGGAGAUGUGGUGUUCGGGAGGUUCCGCUUUCUCGUCGCGAUCGCUCCUGUCCAAGUUCGUCUUGAACGGGGCCGUUUUCCCGUAGAGGGUGCCAGGCCCGUAGCGACGGAGGAUCGCGGCGAGAGGGACUCUCCUUAGAGUCGGGUUGCUUGAGAGUGCAGCCCUAAGUGGGUGGUAA